UGUCGGUCCCCUCGCAACGUGAAGUCGUGAACUCCGCCAGGCCCGGAAGGGAGCAACGGCAGCGACCCAAUCGUGUGCUGGGGUGUGGCUGGUGUGA
rfam:Cycloclasticus sp. symbiont of Poecilosclerida sp. N isolate specimen N Ga0097676_175, whole genome shotgun sequence.